UGGGGAAUAUUGGACAAUGGGCGCAAGCCUGAUCCAGCCAUGCCGCGUGGAUGAUGAAGGCCUUAGGGUUGUAAAGUCCUUUCGGCGGGGAAGAUAAUGACGGUACCCGCAGAAGAAGCCCCGGCUAACUUCGUGCCAGCAGCCGCGGUAAUACGAAGGGGGCUAGCGUUGCUCGGAGUUACUGGGCGUAAAGCGCACGUAGGCGGACUUUUAAGUCGGGGGUGAAAUCCUGGAGCUCAACUCCAGAACUGCCUUCGAAACUGAAAGUCUUGAGUUCGGGAGAGGUGAGUGGAACUGCGAGUGUAGAGGUGAAAUUCGUAGAUAUUCGCAAGAACACCAGUGGCGAAGGCGGCUCACUGGCCCGAUACUGACGCUGAGGUGCGAAAGCGUGGGGAGCAAACA
rnacentral:rRNA from 1 species